CUGAUAAUGGAUCUGAGAAGACUUCUAGACUCCAGUGUCAGGCUGUCUUCAAGAAGAGAUUGAGAGACCCCUGAUUUCGGGAACGUACAUACAACAUGAAGUUGGGCCACCCUUUAACUGACUAUGGAUCUUACAACUAUAUCUGCAAAGUGGAGGAGCUUGAACAGUCUUCUGUAAGCUUUUCUGGAUGUGCUGUUGAUCGAUCCCACCCACCUGGCUCAUUCAGCAUGAGAGAGGUGAUGAAAUGGAUGGAAGAAAACCACCAGCCUGCCCAUGUGAAAAUAUGAGAACUGGGAAUUCAUUUUGGAAUAUUGUUGGAGUC